rnacentral:lncRNA from 1 species
UUGGGGUGUGCGCAAAAAUUUAAAUUUCAGAUUUUUGGUUCUAAGGGUUUGGGAAGAGAGAAUAAAUUAGAAGAAAAUUAUUUUCUUCUUCAUCUUUCUUUUACCUCUUCAUCUUCUCAAAAAGUCUAUCUUCAACUUCUAAAAGGAUUCCAGAGGUUUGAAAAAAAGAUCCAGAUCAACCAAGAAGAAGGUCUUCACACAAGCUGGCACUCCCGAGAAGAUC